GGGCUCCCUGGGGAUGAAGAGGUAGCAGACUUGUUCAUGUCUGUUGUAAGGUGAAUUCCACUGUCAACCGCAUUGUUAUUUUUAUUGGGAGAGGGUGGGGGAGUAGAGUUGCGUUUUGUUGGAGCGUCAUCUUCAGCAUCAGUAUCGUCAAUAAGGGGAAUAUGAGGCUCGGAGUCUUCUAUUCUAAACUCAGGAUGCGUCAUAAAAUUGUGAAUUGAACUUCGUGUCUCAGGUUUCUCUAGCCCCUCAUACAAAGAACUACGAAAUGCAUUCACCACUCGUAUCUGAGUUUGUAUUCUGUUUAGGCCCCUAAACCACAAGAUCUGACCACGACGUAAUUCUCGCUCAGCGUGAUCAAUCUCCUCCACAUCUUCUGCUAGCUCUUCUUCAGGAAUCUCUUCCUUUUGUG
rnacentral:lncRNA from 1 species